CCUACGUGCGGCAGCAGUGGGGAAUAUUGGACAAUGGGCGAAAGCCUGAUCCAGCCAUGCCGCGUGUGUGAAGAAGGCCUUCGGGUUGUAAAGCACUUUCAGUGGGGAAGAAAGCCUUGGGGCUAAUACCCUCGAGGAAGGACAUCACCCACAGAAGAAGCACCGGCUAACUCCGUGCCAGCAGCCGCGGUAAUACGGAGGGUGCGAGCGUUAAUCGGAAUUACUGGGCGUAAAGCGCGCGUAUGCGGUCUGAUAAGCCGGUUGUGAAAGCCCCGGGCUCAACCUGGGAACGGCAUCCGGAACUGUCAGGCUAGAGUGCAGGAGAGGAAGGUAGAAUUCCCGGUGUAGCGGUGAAAUGCGUAGAGAUCGGGAGGAAUACCAGUGGCGAAGGCGGCCUUCUGGACUGACACUGACGCUGAGGUGCGAAAGCGUGGGUAGCAAACAGGAUUAGAUACCCUGGUAGUC
rnacentral:rRNA from 1 species